CAGUCGCCGCGGGAAUACGGAGGGAGCUAGCGUUGUUCGGAAUUACUGGGCGUAAAGCGCGCGUAGGCGGUUACUCAAGUCAGAGGUGAAAGCCCGGGGCUCAACCCCGGAACUGCCUUUGAAACUAGGUGACUAGAAUCUUGGAGAGGUCAGUGGAAUUCCGAGUGUAGAGGUGAAAUUUGUAGAUAUUCGGAAGAACACCAGUGGCGAAGGCGACUGACUGGACAAGUAUUGACGCUGAGGUGCGAAAGCGUGGGGAGCAAACAGGAUUAGAUACCCGCGUAGUCCCUGUCUCUUAUAC
rnacentral:rRNA from 1 species